rnacentral:rRNA from 1 species
GGCGUAAAGGGCUCGCAGGCGGUUUCUUAAGUCUGAUGUGAAAGCCCCCGGCUCUACCGGGGAGGGUCAUUGGAAACUGGGGAACUUGAGUGCAGAAGAGGAGAGUGGAAUUCCACGUGUAGCGGUGAAAUGCGUAGAGAUGUGGAGGAACACCAGUGGCGAAGGCGACUCUCUGGUCUGUAACUGACGCUGAGGAGCGAAAGCGUGGGGAGCGAACAGGAUUAGAUACCCUGGUAGUCCACGCCGUAAACGAUGAGUGCUAAGUGUUAGGGGGUUUCCGCCCCUUAGUGCUGCAGCUAACGCAUUAAGCACUCCGCCUGGGGAGUACGGUCGCAAGACUGAAACUCAAAGGAAUUGACGGGGGCCCGCACAAGCGGUGGAGCAUGUGGUUUAAUUCGAAGCAACGCGAAGAACCUUACCAGGUCUUGACAUCCUCUGACAAUCCUAGAGAUAGGACGUCCCCUUCGGGGGCAGAGUGACAGGUGGUGCAUGGUUGUCGUCAGCUCGUGUCGUGAGAUGUUGGGUUAAGUCCCGCAACGAGCGCAACCCUUGAUCUUAGUUGCCAGCAUUCAGUUGGGCACUCUAAGGUGACUGCCGGUGACAAACCGGAGGAAGGUGGGGAUGACGUCAAAUCAUCAUGCCCCUUAUGACCUGGGCUACACACGUGCUACAAUGGACAGAACAAAGGGCAGCGAAACCGCGAGGUUAAGCCAAUCCCACAAAUCUGUUCUCAGUUCGGAUCGCAGUCUGCAACUCGACUGCGUGAAGCUGGAAUCGCUAGUAAUCGCGGAUCAGCAUGCCGC